GACGAACGCUGGCGGCGUGCUUAACACAUGCAAGUCGAACGGAAAGGCCCUGCUUUUGUGGGGUGCUCGAGUGGCGAACGGGUGAGUAACACGUGAGUAACCUGCCCUUGACUUUGGGAUAACUUCAGGAAACUGGGGCUAAUACCGGAUAGGAGCUCCUGCUGCAUGGUGGGGGUUGGAAAGUUUCGGCGGUUGGGGAUGGACUCGCGGCUUAUCAGCUUGUUGGUGGGGUAGUGGCUUACCAAGGUUUUGACGGGUAGCCGGCCUGAGAGGGUGACCGGCCACAUUGGGACUGAGAUACGGACCAGACUCCUACGGGAGGCAGCAGUGGGGAAUAUUGCACAAUGGGCGGAAGCCUGAUGCAGCAACGCCGCGUGCGGGAUGACGGCCUUCGGGUUGUAAACCGCUUUCGCCUGUGACGAAGCGUGAGUGACGGUAAUGGGUAAAGAAGCACCGGCUAACUACGUG
rnacentral:rRNA from 1 species